AUUGAACGCUGGCGGCAGGCCUAACACAUGCAAGUCGAACGGCAGCACAGAAGAGCUUGCUCUUCGGGUGGCGAGUGGCGGACGGGUGAGUAAUGUCUGGGAAACUGCCCGAUGGAGGGGGAUAACUACUGGAAACGGUAGCUAAUACCGCAUAACGUCGCGAGACCAAAGUGGGGGACCUUCGGGCCUCACACCAUCGGAUGUGCCCAGAUGGGAUUAGCUAGUAGGUGGGGUAACGGCUCACCUAGGCGACGAUCCCUAGCUGGUCUGAGGGGAUGACCAGCCACACUGAAGCUGAGACACGGUCCAGACUCCUACGGGAGGCAGCAGUGGGGAAUAUUGCACAAUGGGCGCAAGCCUGAUGCAGCCAUGCCGCGUGUAUGAAGAAGGCCUUCGGGUUGUAAAGUACUUUCAGCGGGGAGGAAGGCGAUGUGGUUAAUAACCGCGUCGAUUGACGUACCCGCAGAAGAAGCACCGGCUAACUCCGUG
rnacentral:rRNA from 1 species